rnacentral:lncRNA from 1 species
AUGAUACCAAACAGUUUUUGAUCAAAACCAUUAUGGGGCGAAAUCGUUGGUAUUGUUAUAGAUCGACCGUUGACAAGUUAAAUAACAAUAUAACAUGCACACCUAUAAAAAUGGUCAAUGACUUAAGGUCGCUCGAAGUUCCAAUAAAAGUUUUUUUUUUCUUUUAAUCUCUCUGCUCUUUUAGAAAAAAAAGAGCAAAUACUUCAAGAAUAUACGCAAAAAAGAGCAAAUACUUCAAGAAUACUUCAAAAUCUUAAUGAUGUUUACUUCUUUCCAUACUCGGUAUAUUUGUAGAACUUGUAUGUUGAUGUUUA